UUUAUAUCUUGUCUUUCAUAUUUUGAACAUCUGAAGGUGACUACUGCUCUAGUCGCUCUUCAUGCGGACAUAUUGUGGUGCUUGGUCGAAAUUCUUUUUCAAGUUGGCGUAACAAAGAAGUUCAUAGACAUUGUGUUUGGCUCCU